AACGAACGCUGGCGGCAGGCCUAACACAUGCAAGUCGAACGCCGUAGCAAUACGGAGUGGCAGACGGGUGAGUAACACGUGGGAACAUACCCUUCGGUUCGGAAUAACUCAGGGAAACUUGAGCUAAUACCGGAUACGUCCGCGAGGAGAAAGAUUCAUCGCCGGAGGAUUGGCCCGCGUCUGAUUAGCUUGUUGGUGGAGGUAACGGCUCACCGAAGGCGACGAUCAGUAGCNGGUCUGAGAGGAUGAUCAGCCAC
rnacentral:rRNA from 1 species